UGCAGAAUUCAGUGAAUCAUCGAAUCUUUGAACGCACAUUGCGCCCUUUGGUAUUCCAAAGGGCAUGCCUGUUCGAGCGUCA
rnacentral:rRNA from 1 species